ACCAAUUGAAGCUUUCAAGGAUUUAUUUGCAUAAGUGAAACUAUUAUCAUUAUUAUUUCGAUUUAUUAUUAUUUAAUUGUGAAGCUUAUUUUAUUCAUUAAUAAGUAAAUGUCGAAAAGCGAUAAUAGUUUUUUUACUCAUUGCAAAUAUCAUCUUAAGUUGAGUAAAAGAAAUGUACAUCAUCAUUAUUACUUGAAACAAUAUCAAUAUUUAGCUUUCUCUAUCAUCUUUGUAUGAUAGUUAAUAAUGAACCUCUAUAACCAGAAAAUUUAUAGAACAAUAGCGUGGUUGAUCAAGGAUAGAAUUACAGUUCUCGGGUCAUUGUGAAUCUAAUAUUCAUGGCCACAUCCAAGGUAAAUGAACUUCAAAUUUACAUUUUUCAGCUCAAAUAAUUUUGCGGUAAAAGUUUAAUAAUAAAUGAUCUUGAAAAUGGAAAAAAGAGGUUACUAGAUAAAAUGAAGGUUAAAUUGAGUGAUUAAAUGAGAAAAAAAAUAGUCGUAAGAAGCGAAUCAAGGUUUAUAAAUGAAAUUAAUUACUAUACUAUCCUGAGAAAGCGAUUCUGGUUGAAAAACUCUAAUUCCUAUGACUCAUAUCCUUAUGGUCUUGUCUACACUCCAAUCAUUAGUGGGAGCCCUCAAGUAACCGGGGAAUAACAUUAAAACGUCGUGAAAUCUGAGAAGACUGUGGUGAAUAUCUGGAACUAGGUCUUAAACUAGGGCAAUACCAAUGGGUUUCAGACGUUAUAGAAGUGUCUACCAAGCAGCACGACAACUCGCUUGAACGGAUUUCAACGGAGAAAAUCUCGGUGACUUGCAACAACUUUCUUUCUUGGUCCCCAAAGCCAUCGUCAAGAUACAACGAGAACAUUUACUUGGCUUAUUGGCUGGCAAACUUAUAGAAACAACAAGUUUACGAACUUUCUCCUUGUAGGCUGGUCACGAGACUCCUUGGAAAUCGCCAGACCAACGCUUCUUUCAGGACGUUUUCACACCCACAUGUCUCUUUAGUACAUAAGGAGAAAGAGUCGUUAGUGAAGGUUUCUCUGGCGCUUUGUAGAAAUCCUCCCACACUUGGUAUCUCAUCAAGUCAAUAACAGUCUUGGCGUCUUCAACAGAGUCGUGCUCCGCAACUUGGAUUUGACGACCAAGCUUGGUUUGGGCCAACAUUUUCAAACUAGUCUUUAACAUGUUACCUGUGUUAUCAAAUGCAUGACAUGUGUCAACAAUAGUUGGAUGAACGAUUUUGAGAACUCUUAGAUCAUUUUCUAAGGCAUGUCCCAUGAGAAUUGUUUCAGUCGUAAUAAAUGUUAAAAGUCUAGCUUGAACAUCUUGUAAAGUGGUGGUGCAAUUUUUAAGAUGGUCAGCAGUAAUUCCACUGAAGCGAGUAUUGUAGUCAAUAAUUUCAUUAUGUGGUUUAACAUAAGUAUUAUAAACUAUUUCUCCAUCCAAUCCAAUUACUGUAACUUUUGUUAAUUCCAGACCAAACUUGGUGUAGCACAUUUCGCAGUCCAAUGCGUAUAUUUUAAAAAGUGGAACUUUUGCAGGCUGGGUUACCACGAAUCCUUCAAAAGGUCCAUUGCAUCCAAUAUGCGCACCAGACCAGACAUGUCUCGGUGCUACUGUACAUCCUGACGAAAAUUCGAAACGGUUACAACAGGUUUCUGCACAUUCUGGUUGGCCAGGUUGGAUCCUUGGUUUGUACAUGCUCUUGUCAUACUAGGUGGUUGAACAUUACGACGUUGUUUAUGCUGAUAAACAAGCUUGCUGCUGGUUCCUUCAUGACUACGAUGCCAAAUUCUUCGUGUGAUGAUGAUCCUGAUGCAUUUGAGAGAUUUUCGUCAGUGUUAAUCAGCGUUUUAACCGUCUGUGAUGACUUAGGAACAUUUGAUGAAUCAGGACUACUUGGUGAAUCAUCAGUAACAUCACUUCCAGUAGUACCUGUGGUGCUAGUCCGAUCGAUGUCAUUUUGGUAUUCAGCAACUCCAAUUUCGAUGGAACCUCGUUGUCUCUGUCUCCGGAAUCGGCUGCAAUCUUUGGAAAAAGAGAAAACUUAGUGAGUGAUAUUGACACACACAUGCAAAAAAUUCCAUUGUUUGGAUUUUCACAAAAAUUUCUUGUGCUUUCUACCCAGCUUUGAAGUUGAUUAAUGAAUCUCUAGUUAAUUACUAGCAUGUGAUUUAACAGCUCCAACACUCAAUUUGGUUAGUUUGUAUAUCUCUGUACAAUACUUUCAACUCAACGUUACUAUCACUAAA
rnacentral:lncRNA from 1 species